GCCAGACUCCUACGGGAGGCAGCAGUGGGGGAUAUUGCACAAUGGGGGAAACCCUGAUGCAGCGACGCCGCGUGGGUGAAGAAGCGCCUCGGCGCGUAAAGCCCUGUCAGCAGGGAAGAAAAUGACGGUACCCGAAGAAGAAGCCCCGGCUAACUACGUGCCAGCAGCCGCGGUAAUACGUAGGGGGCAAGCGUUAUCCGGAUUUACUGGGUGUAAAGGGGGCGCAGACGGCGAUGCAAGCCAGGAGUGAAAGCCCGGGGCCCAACCCCGGGACUGCUCUUGGAACUGCGUGGCUGGGGUGCAGGAGGGGCAGGCGGAAUUCCUGGUGUAGCGGUGAAAUGCGUAGAUAUCAGGAGGAACACCGGUGGCGAAGGCGGCUUACUGGACUGUAACUGACGUUGAGGCUCGAAAGCGUGGGGAGCAAACAGGAUUAGAUACCCCUGUAA
rnacentral:rRNA from 1 species